GACGAACGCUGGCGGCGUGCUUAACACAUGCAAGUCGAACGGAAAGGCCCUGCUUUUGUGGGGUGCUCGAGUGGCGAACGGGUGAGUAACGCGUGAGUAACCUGCCCUUGACUUUGGGAUAACUUCAGGAAACUGGGGCUAAUACCGGAUAGGAGCUCCUGCUGCAUGGUGGGGGUUGGAAAGUUUCGGCGGUUGGGGAUGGACUCGCGGCUUAUCAGCUUGUUGGUGGGGUAGUGGCUUACCAAGGCUUUGACGGGUAGCCGGUCUGAGAGGGUGACCGGCCACAUUGGGACUGGGAUACGGCCCAGACUGCUACGGGAGGCAGCAGUGGGGAAUAUUGCACAAUGGGCGGAAGCCUGAUGCAGCAACGCCGCGUGCGGGAUGACGGCCUUCGGGUUGUAAACCGCUUUCGCCUGUGACGAAGCGUGAGUGACGGUAAUGGGUAAAGAAGCACCGGCUAACUACGUG
rnacentral:rRNA from 1 species